rnacentral:lncRNA from 1 species
GCUUAUUGCUGCUGCUGCUGACUGCUGUAGUGCUGUACUGCUGUUUGCUUAUUGCUGCUGGCCUGCUGCUGCUGAUUGCUUAUUGCUGCUGCUGCUGCUGAUUGCUUAUUGCUGCUGCUGAUUAACUGCUGUUGAUUGAAUGAUUGGUUGCUGCUGCUGCUGAUUGACUGAUUCACUUGAUUGGAUGCUAGGGAACAUUGCAUCUGGGAGCCAAUCAUCAGUGGGUGAGAGUGAGUGAGGGCAACAUGGACCUGGUGGGGUGGAUCCAAAAUAUCCUCUCUGGGCUUAUGUUCAGAGAGUUGUCAAUGAAACCGGUGCUUCUUCGUCCGGUAGCCGUGGAGGAAACAUCAAAUUCAAGUGCAAUUUCUGCCUCAAAACUUAUCCACGCACCUAUUCAAGAGUGAAGGCUCAUCUGCUUCAGAUAAAAAAAAGGAUAUAGCAACUUGUGACAAAAUUUCACAGCCUGCAUUUGAACAACUUUGCAAGCAGGAUAGGGCAGCCAAUGAACUCAUUGAACAUGGUAUAGGUAGGCAUACACUUCCAUUGCCUCCCUAUGUGGAAUCUGGUUCAUCAAGAAAGAGAAAGCAAACAGGAACAGCCAUUGGAGAUAGUUUUAAUGCCGAGGUCCGACAGCAAGCGGAUGCUCAUAUUGCUAGGAUGUUUUUCACUGCAGGUGUGUAGUUUUGCAUCUGUUCUUUUUAUUCAAGCAUGGUAAAUUUUGCUUACUUUGUUUGCUGCACCAUAUUGUAGGACUUCCAUUCAACCUUGCAAGGAACCCUAACUUCCGGGCAGCCAUUUGAACUAUGUUCCUACCAUUUAUGUAAUGCACUCUUAAAUUUUUAGACUAAGGCCAUUUGAACUAUCUGUUAUGUGGCCACCUGAGCCUUGUAAGCUCCUAUCCGUUAUGCUUUUAGUCAAUUUGUCAUGGUUUGGUUGUGUUUUGCUGUUUGUCAAGUACCAUUUCAGAUUAUUAUGAUCUAUCUCUCUCUCUAAUACUAAUAGACUGCUGUUUGUUGUGUUUUGCAAGAUGCAAUGACAUGGAUUUGGUUUGGAUGGUCAAUCAAUCACUUGAAUUGAAAUAGGAGACAACAGACAACAAAUGGGGC